UACGAAGGGUGCAAGCGUUACUCGGAAUUACUGGGCGUAAAGCGUGCGUAGGUGGUUUGUUAAGUCUGAUGUGAAAGCCCUGGGCUCAACCUGGGAAUUGCAUUGGAUACUGGCAGGCUAGAGUGCGGUAGAGGGUAGUGGAAUUCCCGGUGUAGCAGUGAAAUGCGUAGAGAUCGGGAGGAACAUCCGUGGCGAAGGCGACUACCUGGACCAGCACUGACACUGAGGCACGAAAGCGUGGGGAGCAAACAGG
rnacentral:rRNA from 1 species